UGCCUUCGGGAACUGUGAGACAGGUGCUGCAUGGCUGUCGUCAGCUCGUGUUGUGAAAUGUUGGGUUAAGUCCCGCAACGAGCGCAACCCUUAUCCUUUGUUGCCAGCGAUUAGGUCGGGAACUCAAAGGAGACUGCCAGUGAUAAACUGGAGGAAGGUGGGGAUGACGUCAAGUCAUCAUGGCCCUUACGACCAGGGCUACACACGUGCUACAAUGGCGCAUACAAAGAGAAGCGACCUCGCGAGAGCAAGCGGACCUCAUAAAGUGCGUCGUAGUCCGGAUUGGAGUCUGCAACUCGACUCCAUGAAGUCGGAAUCGCUAGUAAUCGUGGAUCAGAAUGCCACGGUGAAUACGUUCCCGGGCCUUGUACACACCGCCCGUCACACCAUGGGAGUGGGUUGCAAAAGAAGUAGGUAGCUUAACCUUCGGGAGGGCGCUUACCACUUUGUGAUUCAUGACUGGGGUGAAGUCGUAACAAGGUAACCGUAGGGGAACCUGC
rnacentral:rRNA from 1 species